UGGGAAAAAUUGUCUGUUCCUUAUUUCUAUGUGUCUUCCUUAUUUCUAUGCAGUUAUUAUACGAGUUAUGACUUAUGUUCUGCAAUUAAUAUCUUAUGUUUUGUCUUACUGUAUGCAUUUGACAUUUCACCUAGAUUGUUCAAUGGUUGUCUCUGCCUGAUAGACUCUCAACUCUAGCUCCCAAACCCAAGGUCGGGGAGUUGUGUCUCUGUCUGUUGAGACUUGGUGCUCCUUUCUCACAGAUAGUUGGACGUCAGCGAUGCAGGUGUGAGAAAGUAAAAAUCUUCACACACACUGCGACAGGGAGGAGAUGGUGCAUGUAAUUUGAUUGGGUUGGAAAGACAUUCCACCCUAGUCAGACAGAGAAGCUAAAAGGCAGAAGCAACUUGAGGAUCGUGGGCUCUUUGCAUCACACCUUCGUGGUGUGUGCACUGAUCUCCCCAGCUGGUUUUUGGUUUGUUGAUGUGCACGAUCAACAUCCAUGCUUUUUAUUUGCUUUCCCCAUUAUUUUUAUUUUCUUUAUUAUUUCAAUAAAUCGCACAAAAGGACAACACUCUCUCAUCUGCUUCUUUGUGGAAAAUUUCCACCACAGAAAUUGGCGUUGUCGGCAGGACCCCGCGGCAGGUCGUCUGGACGGUGUGACCAGGGACGAUAGUCCUGAGGACUAGGGUCGCUCAGCCUCCAAACCUCUACAGACAUUCAGAGCUGGGAGGACUGCUCACCCGUCUGGAUCGCCUCUGACGAGAUCCACGAACUCAGAUUCAAACUCAAAUCCUAAUUUGGCUCGGCUCGGUGAGAGAGAUUCCUUUUGAUUUGGGAAAAACAAAAGGAUUGGAACUUUUAUUUUUAAUUUAGCUGAAACAUUUCAAUUGGUUGAAAAAAAAAGGGAAAGAAAUCUUCUAUUUGGUUGAAACACUAAAUUUGAAAAAGGAAAAUUAAUUAGAUCGAGAAAAAGAGAAAAAAAAAAUCCCAAUAUUACAUGUUCUUAAUUAGGUGAAAGUCUGCUCUGGGUGGUGAGACGUCGGUUGCUAAGGGUUGGCUCGUGGAACCGAGCUUCCGUCUGUACUGAGGAUACAGACAUGUUUUUUUGAUCUGUGCGUGGUCCACACGUGGGGGACUGAGUAUAAAAGACGGCUUCUGAAAGAGGGAGUGCGUUCGCAGAGUGAAGUAUUUUCAAGAUACGAGGGACCCGGGCCUAGAGGGGCCUAACGUUGAGGAAAUACUUCGGGAAAGGCUCUGUCGCCAGAUCAGAACUGAGCGCGAUGAGGGUAAAUCCGGAUCUGGACUCCUUUCCCACCAUCAGCAGAAGAACCGAAGGAGAAGAAGCGCCGACCAACAACCAGAACGGGGUGGAAGCUCUGACACCACAGCAGCUGGAGGACACAGACCACAGCAUGGAGGCCUCACAGACUCCACAACGUCUGCAGCCAUCACGUUCUGGGCUCAUCAGAUGAACCAGCUACUACAAGCGUGUGUGUCUGACACAGACAUCUGCUUAUGACUGUAAUAGGUAAUCAGCAAAGGAAAACAAGGACAGAGCAACAGCAGAGAAGACGUGCUCUGACACAGACACUGGUUGAAACAACAGGAGAGGCUUCAGACGUGAUCGGCCCAAUAGAGCUGCAUGCGAGGAUCCAGGAAAGGUCUGUCAUCGAGGAACAACUGUCCCAUUGAAAGGCUUCACCCGCUGGCGCUCACAUCAGACUGAUGGUUGGGGAAGGAGGAAGGUGACGGUUCCUUUUCACGUGACGUACAAGACGGUACCGCAAACACACACACAUUCAUACACGCAAUGAAGAAACACGCUUACAGCUGAUACACGCUCAAAUUCAUGUUCAUGCUUAUCUGCUCGCAAUGAAGAAUCGCUUUUUGCUUAAAAAAAAUCCCACAGAGUGAUUUUAAAAUGAUGACAAACAGCUAAAUGACAACUGCUGCAUGACUUUACAGUCUGAUGGGUUCAAACUAUUUUAACUUGCAACAAAUUCAGUAAUAAAAUCCUCUACGUUUCUAAAAGGGUUUGUGCACAAUAUAGGUUUGUCUGGCCAGACUAGAAGACUAUAGGAAACAAAACAGACGGUAGAAAAACAAAACAGACUGUAGAAAAAAAACAAAAAAACAGACUAUAGGAAGACUGAGACUGACUGAAACAGACUAUUAAUGACUAUUAAAGGGAAGACGACUAUUAGAGAGAAGUAAUAAUAAUUACUGUACGUACCAGACUAUUAAAGAAAAACUUAUUCUUUCACUGUCUUGUGCAACAUCUGACAGCAAGACACCUUAACAUUCAUUUUUGCUUUCAAACUUGUGCCCAGUUAAAUUUUUAGGAAGAGAUCUCAUGUAGUUUAGGUAUUUAAUUGAUUUCCACUCCAGACGGAGUGCAGGUUACAUCUACAGACAUUCUAAAUAAUCCCUCUUUUGUUGCUGUUAACUUCAGCUCAGCUGUGCUCUUAUCAUUGGCUGCUGAGGGGGGGCUGUAACUGAGGCCCUCACACAGGCUGCAUCACAGCUUGUUUAUGAUUUCACACACACACACUCAAACUGACCUCAACUUCAUUCUUUUGGGAUGAACACAGGUCUGCGCUUGCGAUUUCUUUUACUAACGAACAAAAAAGAUUUUUAUUUUUAUUCUACAGUUCCACACGUCCCUCUGUGAAAACAUGAUGGAGACAGAUGCAGGACGUGGGUCCUUUCCUGAACAGAUGUCAACGGGGUGGAGACUGGUGAACGACUUCCGACCCCAUGUGACGUAUUCACCUACUUUGCAUACUUUUAGAAAACCUUUCUUUUAUAUUCUGCCUGUCAUGUGCAGCAAACAGUGAACUGGGUACCUCCACACUCUAAUGACACACAUUACACGCUUUCGUUUUUAUUUUUAUUUCAGAGGACGCUCUGACCCAACACUCAGCCUUACAGGAAGCCCUGCUUCCCUGUGGCUCACACACAGACAUGAUGUAGGUUUGAUCAGAGGAUGUGAACCAGUGGUCAUCACACCUAAAUCUGACCACAAACCAUGUAAACAACAUCACCCUCUGGAAGAAGCCAUAGAUGGCGUUACUGCAGACACCACUAAGCUACUGAAUCAUUGGAUGCUACAGGCCACAAAGAGAGCCUGUCUAAAUUACAGUUUGUUCAGACAAAGGUUAUUUUCUGGGUCAUUGUAAUUAUAGCUGAUGGCAAAUCCAUCUCACCCAACAGAGUUGAAGCAAUUUGAAACCUGCCUAAACCGUGCACGUAUAAACAGCUUAUCUUUUCUAGGUUUUCGUUUUUAUUGUAGGAACUUCAUUCUUAACUUUAAUGUCUUUGAGGCCCCACUCAGGGUUCUGAUGCAGACAUCUUCAUCGUCCACUUCUUGUCUCACGUGGACGUCUGAGGCUGAACAACGUUCACCGACCUCAUGCUUGCUCUUCAGUUGGCUCCUACCUUGGGUCUUCCUGAUCUGACCCUAUGCGACCUUUCACUCAAACAGUGGAUGAGAGAUCAGGUUGUACGACUUCUGUUCUUUGUCCUCAUACUGUGUCUUUGAUUCUUUUGGAAAACAUCACAUCUUUCUACAGCCCGAUGGCUUAGAUGCAACACCACCUUACUCAACAUGCUGAACGUUACUAUCAAGAGGCCGUCUUGAAGUCUGGCUCUUUGCUAAGACACUACUCUGCUCAGGCUGCAGAGUUGAUCACAUUGACUGAAGCUAGUAAACGAGCAGAAGGAGAGUCUGUUACCAUCUACACGGACUCCACAGACGCUCUGUGGAAGCAUAGGAAGCUUUGAAGUCUGAUUGCAAACCUAUCUUACAUCAUGAUAAGGUUCUGCUUUGCUGGACGCUGUCCUGCUGCCUACAGCUAAUGCUGUUUGUAACUGUCCAACAUCAGUGACGACUUUGUUUCUGCCGACAUGCAGCUGCAGACGCUGCUCCGAAGGUCGCUGCCCAACAACCCCUCCCUCUCCUGAUCCUCGUUUCCUCUUGUUCCCUCUCCAACUCUCUCUAUCCUUUCCUUCCUCAUCUCCCUGUGCUUUAAACAUUUUCUACCUCACAGGAACGCAGACUCUGGCUGACGCAUGGUUCCACCUGUAGCCAUGGAGUCUGGUUUGGGCCUGAUGGCAGCCGUGCCGCCCAAACACCUUUUCCCCAUAAUUCAGAUUUCCCAACAGGUGAAAGCAGGCGACAGGACCAUUACACCAUCCAACCAGGGCACUGGGUGAUCGUUAAGGAGUUCAGGAGGAAGCACUGGGACUCCAAACGGUGGCGAGGCCACUUCCAGGUCCUUCUGACGACCCACACGGCUGUAAAGAUCGCAGAGAGAGCGACUUGGAUCCACUCCACUGCAAGAAGGUCCCGGAUCCAACAGACGACCCUCCAUCUACAUCUACACCACACAAGAAAACCACCACUGACAUAAAGAAUUGAGAAGGACGACCCUCGCUGUGCUCACACACGCACUGAGGCGAGGCUGCGUUGACCGUUCAGCUAAAGGUGUGAGCCAAGCGCCGCCUGAAGCUGCACCGGUGAAUCACACUAUCAGACCAUACAUCUACACACACGCUCCUGAGAAAACACACACACGAGCAGCCUUGAGUUGCCGACGCUGGACAACGUGUAGACUCUUCACAUCACGGGAGUGACAGUGACUCAGACGACAUUGGGAGGAAACCUGGCGGUGAUAACAAAUCCCAAGUGUCUCUGUGAUCAGCUGAUCACAACCUGAAGAACCCCAACGAACAAUCAAUACUUCAACACACAGGUUGGAAACAAUCUAACGCUACUGUUCAACAGGACGAAGCAGAUUGUUACAAGACAUCAAUUGUAACCUCGUUGCGUUAGACAUUUUAUGUUACUCUGAUUAUUGCCUUGAUCAUAUGAUGUUUUCAUGUAACUUUGCACACUACUUUUGAAUGAGAAAAUUUCACAUAAUUCACAACACUGAGUUUAAAUAUCCUAAAGUUGACUUGGUGUUUAAUUUGCUCACAAUCACUUUAUUCACUGCUACAAUUAGUUCUAUCCUUCAUCUACAGAUGAAAGACAACACAAGCGGAAAAACGCAUCAUCAUUCUGGUUAAAUCCCUGAAUCUCCUAUUCGCUCUAGACGCAAAUGUACAAUUAAAGAUCCGAAAGCAUUAAAUCUAUCUUAAGAAUAUAUGAAACAGAACCCCACCGGAAACCUAUGGCUAUCGUACAUUAAUUAUCUUUAUUACAUUACAAUUGAAUGGCCGUAGACACGUUGUUAGCAGAGAAAAGAGGCGUUUGUGUUAUGUUUGGAGAGGCAUGUUGUACUUACAUCCUGAAUAACACUGAUUCUAAUGGUAUUGUGGCGAAGGCGCUACACGGCCUUCAGAAUCUCAGCUAACUCUGGUAUAGGUUCUUCCUCUUGGAAUUGGCUAGACGAAAUGUCUGGAAAAUGGAAAUCUGUUCUCAUGUCCGCAGCUGUUUCCUUUAUCAUUGAGAUGGCUGUGAUUCUCUUGUUUGGUUUUUGCGUUAUCCCACUGGUUAGAGGUCUCAUCAUGCGUGCGACCUCAGCAACACUCUCGUAUGAGAUGACACAAUGCACUAUGUUCAAAAACCCCAACUCUAAUUCACUUAAUGACUUUGACAAUGGUCUUAGGCUAUCUGAUCACAAAAUAUAAUCUGAUACAAAUAUGAUUAUGAGCUUAUUUUCUUCACAUGCCGAUACAGAGGUUAUUCUUGUUUAACUACCCACCAAAAACAGCUCCCAACCUUUUGUCCCUUAGUUACUUCCAUUUUAUGUGAAGGUGUAUUUUGAAUCUUGAUGAGUUAAUACCCUUAUUGUUUCAUUUGCAAGGAUCUUUUAUUAUUACAGAAUAUGAUGUUGACAAUUUUUAUUCCUUUAUGGUUUGAUUAAUGUGUAAUCAAAAGGGGGGAGUGUUAUGGGAAAAAUUGUCUGUUCCUUAUUUCUAUGUGUCUUCCUUAUUUCUAUGCAGUUAUUAUACGAGUUAUGACUUAUGUUCUGUAAUUAAUAUCUUAUGUUUUGUCUUACUGUAUGCAUUUGACAUUUCACCUAGAUUGUUCAAUGGUUGUCUCUGCCUGAUAGACUCUCAACUCUAGCUCCCAAACCCAAGGUCGGGGAGUUGUGUCUCUGUCUGUUGAGACUUGGUGCUCCUUUCUCACAGAUAGUUGGACGUCAGCGAUGCAGGUGUGAGAAAGUAAAAAUCUUCACACACACUGCGACAGGGAGGAGAUGGUGCAUGUAAUUUGAUUGGGUUGGAAAGACAUUCCACCCUAGUCAGACAGAGAAGCUAAAAGGCAGAAGCAACUUGAGGAUCGUGGGCUCUUUGCAUCACACCUUCGUGGUGUGUGCACUGAUCUCCCCAGCUGGUUUUUGGUUUGUUGAUGUGCACGAUCAACAUCCAUGCUUUUUAUUUGCUUUCCCCAUUAUUUUUAUUUUCUUUAUUAUUUCAAUAAAUCGCACAAAAGGACAACACUC